CCAUAGCAUUCAGUUGUGCCAGUUUCAUAGAGAAACACUAUCUCUCUUACACACACAGAUGCUUAUUUCUUUUACGCUGCUCAAGAAACUAUACUGGAUAUAAAAAAGCUUUGUGAAAUGUUUUUUUUAAUGUAUUUGAGUAUAAGAGGAAGCUUUAAUGGGAAGUUGUGACAACCAAUUGUGACAUCUUGUUCACAGGAUACUACAACUCCUGCUCUACAUAAACUGAAAGAAGAAGCAGAAAAGCAAGUCAUCAACACCAGACAGUUUUUCUGAUCAAAAACAUCCAAACUUGGUUAUUAAGUAAAUUUGGAUCACUGGUUGACCUGAGGAAUUCAAACCUUUCUUCCCAAAGAUUAAGUCUGGGUGAGUCUAGAUGUGUGAUCCAGCUAAUGAGAGUGAACUAAAACAAGUAAGGGUUGAAAAUGCUUUACUCGAAGAGCGCUCUGAUCAGACAGCUGGCUUGCACAGUGUCACCUGCUGUCUUGUUCUACAUAAAAUCCCCUUCAGUAAGGACACUGACCACCGGAAAUUAGCCAUAUGCAGCAUCGUAUGUGGACUCUCCUGCAUUGGCAUUAUGUCCCUUAUCUACUCUGUCAAGGCUCGAGAGACAAGAAAAACACUUCAAAAUGAAGAUCAAUUGGGAGCACAACAGAAUGUGAAGGUUAAGGAGUACUCAAGAAAAGCUUUGAAAUGGGGAAUAGGGUCCAUUGUAGCCUGGGUAGGUUUAAUUGCCAUCUUUCCAUUGCUGCUGGGAUUACUGUCCUAUCUUGUAACCUUCAUAGACUAAAACUGCAGAAAUUUUACUCCAGAUGUCUUUAAAAAUGCUGUGCAACCAAUGCAAAUGAACCGAGAAAGCAGAGAUAAACUGCCAUGGAUUUUAUCAUUCACAUGAAACAACACAGUAAAACUAUCUACAAACUUAACCUGAUAACAACAGAUUGGUCAUUAAUGGACAUUUUUGUGUUUAUUUACAUUUACUGUGGGUUUUAAAUGGUGUUUGCAGUUGAGACUUAUUCGGAAAGUCUAAAAAACAAAUGUGACCUAGAAUAUAAAACGAGAGCUCAGUCUGUUCACAGCUCUGCCUUGCACUAAGAACUAAGCAUUUUACAUUUCUAUUUCCUAUGCCAUUGGGUUGUAAAUUUAAAUAUUAUAACCUAAAAAACAUGAUGGACCAUAACGAUAAGUACACAGUAACCCCACAGCAGUUAGUAAAGCAAAUACAGGUGGCUCAAAAAAGCUAUAGUAGCUUUCUGGAAUUUGUUACAUGCAUCAGGUAGAAUGAUGCACACACAAAAAAAAUCAUCAUCUCAGUCCAGAAAAUACAUAUACAAUAAAAUACUGACAGUGUAUCAAGCUGGUUUUUAAAUUUUUAUUAUUAUUAUUAUUUUAUUAAUGCAGUGUUGAAAUAAACAGACACUUGCAUGACACUUGCACAAGUUUCUAUUUAAUGUUGAGAUAUGGAUUGUUACAUUAUUAACAUCAGUUUGUGUAAAUUAUUUGUAAUUAUUUCAAUAAGUUGUGCUUUAUGUUUUGUACAUUGCAUGUCUUUCAGACUCUGUAAUAAAAUGUGUAAGUCAAAAUA